GGACUACUAGGGUAUCUAAUCCCGUUCGCUACCCUAGCUUUCGUGCCUCAGCGUCAGAAAAGAUCCAGUGAGCCGCUUUCGCCACCGGUGUUCCUUAGGAUAUCAACGCAUUUCACCGCUCCACCCUAAGUUCCGCUCACCUCUAUCUUCCUCUAGCACAGUAGUUUCGGGCGCAAUUCCUCAGUUGAGCUGAGGUAUUUCACACCCGACUUUCUGCACAGCCUACGCACCCUUUAAGCCCAGUAAUUCCGAAUAACGUUCGUACGGUUCGUCUUACCGCGGCUGCUGGCAC
rnacentral:rRNA from 3 species